AAAACCGUGAAAAUAAACAUGUGCCUUCGACCGAAAUCACCGGAUCCGAACCCGAAACUUUAUGGAGAUACGUCCCUCGGGGAAGCGCUAAACAUCUCCCAGAAGGGGUGAGGUCAGUGCGCCACCGCGAAGGAGAAAAUGCCCAUGACGGCGGGCACAGUUUUCAUUGAGCUACGAGGAUGUGCGAACAAAGACCGCUGGAAACGGCCUAAACCCACAAUCACCGUCGGUCGAACGCCUGCAGCGUAAGUUUCCCUUACACGGAAUGCAGCAGGGCACUGCAGUGAUGACUGCAGAACGCCGUUAAGCUGUAUUGCCGGGUGUGCUGUUCCCGGCAAUGGAAAAAGGCAAUUUGAAAUACCCGAUUGUUGCUCUAAUCAAAUUUGAAAGCACUUCUUGCAACCAUUGCUAGCUAGUGGCGCUACUUACCUUGUCUCAUCUAUCAAAUGUUUUGUAUUCUUUUACUUUUGUGUAAUAUUAAUUAAAAAAUCGGUGGGUGGGGUGUUUCA